CAUUGUCGAAUCCUGCAGAGCAGAAUGACCAGAGAA
rnacentral:rRNA from 1 species